CCUGAACAGACUCCUGUGUGAAGCUGUCAAGCACACAUUGAUGAGAGAUUGUAUCUUCUGUUGUACCAGGUCAGCAUGCACUGUGCUGCACAUCUGCCUCUGUGCUGGUGAAGUUGUGGGUCUGGAGGAUGAGCGGGAGGAAGAUGUGUGUGGAGGAGGUCAGUGGUGCUCUGUCCUGGAGUAGGUGCCAGCAGACCACCACAAGUGUCAACAGGCAAGUCAUUCACAGAGAUGUAGCAGCCGUCGUCUGAGCCAGCCCAACAGUCCCUGUAGAUGGACGAUGGAGUGGACAGUGAGAGGAAGCGUCCCAAAGCUCUCUCUGCAGACCGUCCUGUAUGAUGUUCCUCUGACCAGAAACGUCCAGCCAUGGGUCUGCACCAGCCCUCCAUCCACGUCUGGAUCCUCCUGCAGCAGAUCCAGCUGCACUGUUAAAGACUUCCUGCUCACUCAGUUUAAAUAAAUGAUCCAGGAAGAGUCACUCAGGUUAAUCCCGCUUUAACCGUACAUAACUGGUCCAUACUGGUUUUGAUCUGUAAAUAAGUGUAACCUAUUGUAAAUAAUCUUGUCUCCUUAUCAUCUUUUCAUUUUCUGUUCAUGUUCAAAAACAUCUGUAAUAAUAAAACUGGUGAUAAAAUCAA